rnacentral:rRNA from 1 species
CCCCUAGACGUUCUGGGCUGCACGCGCGCUACAAUAAUACGCACAGCGAGUAUCACCGAGCUCGAAAGGGCAAGGUAAACAAUAGAAAAGGUACUGUAAUGGUUAUAGAUCCUUGUAAUUAUUGAUCUUCAACGAGGAAUUCCUAGUAAGUAUGUGUCAUCAUCACGCACUGAUUACGCCCCUGCCCUUUGUACACACCGCCCGUCGCUCCUACCGAUUGGGUGAGCCGAUGAAACUCUCGGAUGUAGGCUAUUCAUAGCCCGCAGAAGAGAUUUGAAUCGUNGNGCUUAGNGGAAGGAGAANUCGUANCA